UAGGGAAUCUUCCGCAAUGGGCGAAAGCCUGACGGAGCAACGCCGCGUGAGUGAUGAAGGUCUUCGGAUCGUAAAACUCUGUUAUUAGGGAAGAACAAAUGUGUAAGUAACUAUGCACAUCUUGACGGUACCUAAUCAGAAAGCCACGGCUAACUACGUGCCAGCAGCCGCGGUAAUACGUAGGGGGCUAGCGUUGUCCGGAAUCACUGGGCGUAAAGGGUUCGCAGGCGGAAUAACAAGUCAGAUGUGAAAGGCAUGGGCUCAACCCAUGUAAGCAUUUGAAACUGUAAUUCUUGAGAAGUGGAGAGGUAAGUGGAAUUCCUAGUGUAGCGGUGAAAUGCGUAGAUAUUAGGAGGAAUACCUGUGGCGAAGGCGACUUACUGGACACAAAUCUGACGCUGAGGCUCGAAAGCGUGGGGAGCGAACAGG
rnacentral:rRNA from 1 species